rnacentral:tRNA from 1 species
UAGGGUGGAGCUCAGUGGUAGAGCACGUGCUUAGCAUGCAUGAGGUCCCGGGUUUGAUCCCCAGUACCUUCA